CCCUGGCCAGGCAGCGCAUGCGCGGCAAGUGGUUUCGCGAAGGAGAAGGCCGCUCGCAGUUGGUCGCCAUCUUGUGCUGCUGUGUUCCUAUUCGCCGCCGGGGCAUUGUGUUUAAUACCGGAGCCAAUCAGAGGGGCAAAAGCGCGGGGUUUUGUUCAAUUUGAACAACAUUCUGCCAAGAAUCUGCUUACAUAUUCACGUUAAUAAUGGAACAGUACACAGCAAAUAACAGCAAUUCAACUGAACAGAUAGUGGUUCAGGGACAGAUUCAACAACAGAGUCAGCCAUUAAUGGUUCAAGUUAGUGGUGGUCAGCUCAUCACGUCAACCGGUCAGCCAAUCAUGGUUCAGGCAGUACCUACAGGUCAGGGACAGACAAUUAUGCAGGUUCCUGUCUCCGGAGGACAAGGUAUACAACAGAUUCAGCUGGUUCAACCAAGUCAGCUCCAGCUUCAAAGUGGACAGGCUGUUCAGGUCCAGAACCAACAAGGUCAGGCACAACAAAUUAUUAUUCAGCAGCCUCAGGCAGCUGUGACAGCAGGACAAACACAGCAAAUAGUGCAAGGACAGCAGGUGGCACAGACUGCAGAGGGGCAGACAAUUGUGUAUCAACCAGUUAAUGCAGACGGCACCAUACUCCAGCAAGUUGCAGUCCCUGUUACAGGCAUGAUCACGAUUCCUGCUGCCAGCCUUGCUGGGGCCCAAAUUGUCCAGACGGGAGCCAGCACAAGCACCACAAAUAGCAGCCAAGGCACUGUAACGGUAACACUACCAGUUGCCGGAAGUAUGGUCAAUGCAGGCGGUAUGGUGAUGAUGGUACCAGGGGCUAGUACAGUUCCAGCUAUGCAGAGAAUCCCCUUGCCAGGUGCAGAGCUACUUGAAGAAGAACCGUUAUAUGUAAACGCCAAACAGUAUCACCGAAUCUUAAAAAGGCGACAAGCAAGAGCCAAGCUAGAAGCAGAAGGCCGGAUCCCAAAAGAAAGGAGGAAAUACCUCCAUGAGUCACGUCACCGCCACGCAAUGCAGCGAAAGCGUGGAGAAGGCGGGCGUUUUUUUUCUCCCAAGGAGGGUGAUGAGAUUGUCAUCUCAGUCAGGCUGUGAAAAGGCGUAAGACAGAGAAAAGCCUGAAUGAUUUCUGAGUAGGCUGUAGAAAAAACAAAAAAGAAACACCAGCAGCAGAAUGAAGAAAUAGUGGGUCAGGUGAUCAGGGUGGCCUAAACCUCUGCCUUAUGCAAGUCUUUUGAAACAAGCACCGAGUCAAAUUGAUGGUCUCUCCUCAGCCCAGUAUUCCUACAUUGACUGCCUCGCCUGCAUUCCUGAAACAGAAACGGAGCUUUAUAUCAAAAUGGUCUUCUCCGGGAAAAACCUUUUCGUUGCAAACCUUGAACAUUUAGACUAAAAAGUACUGGAUUAUGAAUAAUGGGGGCAAAACCCACUUCAAUAGAAAAAGGACUGAGAGUAACUUUGUUUAUUCUAGAUGGAGAGAACCAAUUUUGCACCUGCUUUCAGUGGUGAUGGUAUGUAGUCUGUAUUAGUUUGGGAUGGGGUGGAGGGGAACCCUCCUGAUGCUUUGUCCACUUUUAGAAAGUUGGCAGAGGUCAAAGUGUAGAGUUCUGUAUGUUUAUCAAAGACUUCUGGGGUGGGGGGUGGGAAGGGCAGAUACAAGUGGAAUAAAGUUAUCUUAUAAUGGGUGAGGUGGGGGGAGGAGGGGGUUUACCUAAUUCAUUUGGUAUGUUAUUAUGAAACUUACAUGAUUUUGUAUUUUUUCCAGUGUUUGUUAAUUAAGAGAUAAUGUACAAGUGCAUUUUUUUUAAACUUUCAUUGUGUACCCAAUGCAAAUACUCAGUAAAAUGUAGCAGAAACACUGCUUCCUGAGAGACAGUAAAACCAUUUUGGAAGAUAAACAUUUUAUUUUACAAAAAUGGUGAUAAGUUGGAUGCAAUUUCAGUGCUUCAAAUAUGGCUGUAAUGCAGCAAAAGACAUUUUUUCUCGAAAGGGGUGAUAGAAUAUAUUACAAAAUAGUAAAUGAGUGCAGCAUGAGGGCUAACAUUGUAGUUCCAACAUUUGAUCACGAAGGUAAGUGAUCUUAAGUAGGACAGCAAUAGACCUUACCUUAGGCCUCUGAGUUGGUGGUUGAGGGAAUCCCAAAACAUUAAGCUAUGGUUGCUACUCCUUGCCAUCUUCAUGGCUUCUGGAAAGUAUGGAUAUGUGGAUGUUGAAGGGGAAAAUUCAGUGACUCCAUAGUUAAACGGGUGUGCAGCAUCCCAUCUCUCAAAAAGUGACAAAUUUGGUUCGAUCAGAGAAGUGUGCUGCUGAUAAAAGCUUACUCCAGCAGGUGUUGGUGCUUUAGGAGCUUAUUUUAGGGGUUGGAGAGUAGUGGAAACGGGAGAUACAUUUACAAGAAAUGGCAGUUAUUUUCAAUAUUCUGCUUUUUUUCUCAUUUCAAAGGCACCAGACUAUAUUUUUCCCCUAGAAAGCUGUUGCAUGAGUUUUAUUCCUACAUUUAAAAUGAACACUAUGAAUUGUAGCAGCAUGAGUGAAGUCUAAGCGUAAAAUAUAAUUUCCUCUAGUGUUAUUAUGCUUUCAUCGCAGAGUUGAAUUUUUUUUUACCGUUUUGGUAUAUGCCAAUUACUGCCCUCUAGUUAAUAAUAUUUUUUAAAUGAAAAGGAAAACCAUUGCAUUAAUAAGUAAGUCAUUUUUCACCUGUGACUUGUAUUCAAAUCCAGCAAGAAGAAAAAUGAAGUUUAAUUUUCUCUUGGGCUUGCAAGGUGUGUUAAAACACAGGACUUUGGCUUCAAAAAGCAGUCCAACUACCUGCUGGAGCAAUGGAAUAUGAUGCCAGUGCAUUAAGAUAAUACCCUUUCACAUCCAUGUAGAUAAAAGGAAACGAAGAGCUACCCUCCAGGAUGUUUGUUAAACAUGCUAAGAAAAAGCACUAGGCAGUCUUCAUGUAGCACUUGAUCCUAGCUCUUCAGUGUAUGUGGUGGAACUGCAGUAUCUUUUUUUAGUCAGAAGGCAAUAUACCGUUAGAACUCGAUUUCAAAUCCAACCUAGACAGCAAAAAGGUGUUCUGACUACAAGAAUAGGCAUGGUGUAUUACCUGUAAAAAAAAAACCCUUUCAGUUAUGGAAGAUUUCAAAUCUAACUUCUUCACUGGAUGUAAGUCUCAUAGCUAACAGAAUUCUAAAUGAAAUGAAUUUAGGGCAUUGUUUAUUUUUUUUAGUAAGCUCAAGUCCACAAAAAGCCUAUGAUGUGCAUUAAUUGGGCAACACAAGAGCCAUUAAUGUGGGAAUUAAAAUAUCACUGUGCUGUUACAUAUGAUUCUCCUACUGAUGGAUGAUUAAUGGACACCAGAGAAACAAUGCAAGUGUUUUUAGGCAAUUACAGUUUUGCCCAAUAACAACCUUGGAAAUUCCAAGUACAUGUGCAGGUCCUUCAGUGUUUAGGAAUGAGGCACAUCAAUAGAACGGUGCUUAUGAAGUUUUACCCUUGUCUAGCCCACAUGUGCUUGACCAGGCUGUACUCCAAGGCAAUAAUGUGUAAAUUGUAAAGACCUUUAAACCAAUCAACAGGAACCAAACUCAACAUUUCCUGAUUCCUAAUGCACCUUCCACACAUGCACCAGAAGAACCAGUUAGUCAGAUAAUUGCCUUUUUUCACCCCUGCAAUCAAUUAACUUUACAGUGACUGAGUAGCACUGAAACUCAGUCUUAAGGGCUUUGAAUAUCAGGUAGAACAUUUUAAUUGUUGCAGAUAUUAUAAAAGUCUUGCAGAUUAUAAAUAUUUCAACCAAUGCAUUGAAAUGAGUGCAACUUCUUUUUGUAUAUAGGUUACAGAUUUAUAAUUUUUUUAUAUACAGCAUUUGGUUUGUAAGCAUGAAUCUAUGAAUUUAGCUGUAGAAAAUAAAAGUACUGUGUACGUGGUUCAGCUAAUAAAACCUUACCAUUUUAGUAUUUUAAAAA